UACGUAGGGUGCAAGCGUUGUCCGGAAUUAUUGGGCGUAAAGAGCUCGUAGGCGGUCUGUCGCGUCUGCUGUGAAAAUCCAGGGCUUAACCCCGGGCCUGCAGUGGGUACGGGCAGACUAGAGUGCGGUAGGGGAGACUGGAAUUCCUGGUGUAGCGGUGAAAUGCGCAGAUAUCAGGAGGAACACCGAUGGCGAAGGCAGGUCUCUGGGCAUUAACUGACGCUGAGGAGCGAAAGCAUGGGGAGCGAACAGG
rnacentral:rRNA from 1 species